GCUAGCUACAGGCUUAACACAUGCAAGUCGAGGGGCAGCAUGGUCUUAGCUUGCUAAGGCCGAUGGCGACCGGCGCACGGGUGAGUAACGCGUAUCCAACCUGCCUUACACUCUUGGACAGCCUUCUGAAAGGGAGAUUAAUACAAGAUGUUAUCAUGAGUAAGCAUUUUCGCAUGAUUAAAGGUUUACCGGUGUAAGAUGGGGAUGCGUUCCAUUAGAUAGUAGGCGGGGUAACGGCCCACCUAGUCUUCGAUGGAUAGGGGUUCUGAGAGGAAGGUCCCCCACAUUGGAACUGAGACACGGUCCAAACUCCUACGGGAGGCAGCAGUGAGGAAUAUUGGUCAAUGGACGAGAGUCUGAACCAGCCAAGUAGCGUGAAGGAUGAAGGUUCUAUGGAUUGUAAACUUCUUUUAUACGGGAAUAAACGAAUCCACGCGUGGAUUUUUGCAUGUACCGUAUGAAUAAGGAUCGGCUAACUCCGUGCCAGCAGCCGCGGUAAUACGGAGGAUCCGAGCGUUAUCCGGAUUUAUUGGGUUUAAAGGGAGCGUAGAUGGGUUGUUAAGUCAGUUGUGAAAGUUUGCGGCUCAACCGUAAAAUUGCAAUUGAUACUGGCAGUCUUGAGUACAGUUGAGGUAGGCGGAAUUCGUGGUGUAGCGGUGAAAUGCUUAGAUAUCACGAAGAACUCCGAUUGCGAAGGCAGCUUACUAACCUGUAACUGACAUUGAUGCUCGAAAGUGUGGGUAUCAAACAGGAUUAGAUACCCUGGUAGUCCACACGGUAAACGAUGAAUACUCGCUGUAGGCGAUAUACAGUCUGCGGCCAAGCGAAAGCAUUAAGUAUUCCACCUGGGGAGUACGCCGGCAACGGUGAAACUCAAAGGAAUUGACGGGGGCCCGCACAAGCGGAGGAACAUGUGGUCUAAUUCGAUGAUACGCGAGGAACCUUACCCGGGCUUAAAUUGCAACCGAAUAUGGCGGAAACGCUAUAGCUAGCAAUAGCGGUUGUGAAGGUGCUGCAUGGUUGUCGUCAGCUCGUGCCGUGAGGUGUCGGCUUAAGUGCCAUAACGAGCGCAACCCUUGCCGAUAGUUACUAACAGGUCAUGCUGAGGACUCUGUCGAGACUGCCAUCGUAAGAUGUGAGGAAGGUGGGGAUGACGUCAAAUCAGCACGGCCCUUACGUCCGGGGCUACACACGUGUUACAAUGGGGGGUACAGAGGGCUGCUACCACGCAAGUGGAUGCCAAUCCCAAAAACCUCUCUCAGUUCGGAUUGAAGUCUGCAACCCGACUUCAUGAAGCUGGAUUCGCUAGUAAUCGCGCAUCAGCCACGGCGCGGUGAAUACGUUCCCGGGCCUUGUACACACCGCCCGACAAGCCAUGGGAGCCGGGGGUACCUGAAGUGCGUAACCGCAAGGAGCGCCCUAGGGUAAAACUGGUGACUGGGGC
rnacentral:rRNA from 1 species